UUUUUUAGUGUUGCAAAGAAAAUUCACGAACCUUUACCCAUUCCGAAUUAAAGUGUUAAAAAUUUUUCCGACGACGAUACUAUAAAAGAAAUUUUAUUGGAAAAAUAGUCGAAUGCUAAAAUU
rnacentral:rRNA from 1 species